UGUGCCUUGGCUAGUACCGUUUUAGUUAGGGCUUGUGGAAUUUGCGUUGCUUCGAUUUGUGUCGAGUUGCUGGUCUUAGUGUCUAGUCCUUUAGAGUUUCGAGUUCUUGUCACCAUCUAUACACAGCCGAGUAUUACCAUAUCUUCUCUCUGUCGAAUCUGUUGUGAAGUCCGAAUUGAACUGUGAUCCAAAAAGAAAGAUAACUCCAUACUUGUUCGGCCUUACUCUAGAGAGAGAGAGAGAGAGAAAAGUGUGUGUAGCGAAUUGCUCUUUUGUAUUCCUUUGUUCAUAUAAUCAGUUUUUGAGGUUGCCCAAAAAAAAAGAAAAAAAAGAAAAAAAAGAAAAGAGAAAAGAUUCAAAAAAAAGGGGCUGUUUUUCAUAUUGAUUUUAGGUUUGUCCCACCUUGUUUUCGGGGGUGUGCUGUGGUUUUCCUUUGUGUCCAGGCUCGCGUCUCUAGCACGGUCUAGCCUAGGACCAGCACAGUACCAUCGUCGAACGCUUAUUCAGCUCGCUUUUAUAACUAACGUGGUGCUAGUUCGUUCCUUGUUUCAGCCCACCUAUAGCUCCACAUACUCUACAGCUUGACAGGUCUUGUGCUGCAGCACCGAUACACUUCGUCCAUUGCUGUACACUUGUUGGCAGACGACCCCUCCUGUCAAGCAAGGUAAGAAUUGGUAAGAACUUGUGUUACAGGUUGAGUGUGAGCGACUUGCUGUAGCUACAUCCUAGUAGUUGUAGGGCUUUUAUUUCUUCACUUGCCUUUUUGUUGUCUUUGUCUUUGAACCAUGCCAGGGGCAGAUGAUGGUAACGAAACACCACUUACACCUCGCACUAAGGGCAUCAUACAACAUUUUGAAAGGAAAGUGAAGCUGCACACAGAGGGACUUGAUAACGACUUGCAGGUGACAAAUGAAAAGCUGGGGCAGUUGGAGGCUACGCAGAUUGCCACAAACAACAAGCUCACAAGUUUGGAGGAAUCCGUUGCUAGUGUGGACAAAAGCCUUGCUGCUCUCCUAAGGCGAUUUGAUGCUUUCCACACCGAAGAUAAAGAGAAGCAUAAAGAAGAAAAGGAGGGAGAUCGAGAGCACGGUAGUCAUGAAGAUGACUACACUGGUGAUACUGAACAUGAUGAUCAAGACACUCGUGAUCGACGUCGCCUUCGUCACAACCGUAGAGGUAUGGGUGGCAACCGCCGACGCGAGGUACACAAUAAUGAUGAUGCUUUCAGUAAGAUUAAAUUUAAGAUAUCCCCUUUUGAUGGUAAAUAUGACCCUGAUGCUUACAUCACUUGGAAGAUUGCUGUUGAUCAAAAGUUUGCAUGUCAUGAAUUUCCUGAGACUACACGUGUUAGGGCUGCUACUAGUGAGUUUACAGAUUUUGCUUCUGUUUGGUGGAUAGAAUAUGGAAAGAAAAAUCCUAAUAACUUACCUAGAACUUGGGAUGCGCUGAAAAGGGCCAUGAGAGCUAGAUUUGUUCCAUCUUACUAUGCGCGUGAUAUGAUAAAUAAGUUGCAGCAAUUAAGACAAGGUGCUAAAAAUGUAGAAGAAUAUUAUCAGGAAUUACAAACGGGUAUGUUGCGUUGUAACCUAGAGGAGGAUGAGGAACCGGCUAUGGCUAGAUUUUUGGGUGGGUUAAAUCGGGAAAUUCAGGACAUCCUCGCUUACAAAGAAUACAAUAAUGUAACCCGUUUGUUUCAUCUUACUUGUAAAGCUGAAAGGGAUGUGCAGGGACGACGUGCUAGCGCAAGGAGUAAUAUUUCUGCAGGGAAGGCUAAUUCAUGGCAGCAACACAUGGCUUCAACUCCAUCUACAUGUAUUUCUACUCCAUCAUCUAGUGACAAGGCUCGAGCUGCCCCCACCAAUUCAGUUGCGAAGACGAUGCAAAAGCCUGCUGCGAGUACUUCAUCCGUGGCAUCGACGGGUAGAACAAGCAACAUACAAUGUCAUCGGUGCAAGGGAUAUGGGCACAUGAUGCGUGACUGCCCAAACAAGCGAGUUAUGAUUGUCAGGGAUGAUGGUGAGUACUCAUCUGCUAGUGAUUUUGAUGAGGAUACACUUGCACUGCUUGCGACUGACCAUGCAGGUAAUGAAGAUCAAAUAGAAGAACAUAUAAAUGCAGGUGAAGCGGACCACUAUGAGAGCUUGAUCGUGCAGCGAGUGCUUAGUGCACAAAUGGAGAUGGCGGAACAAAAUCAGCGACACAUUUUAUUCCAAACAAAGUGUGUCAUCAAAGAGCGUUCUUGUCGCAUGAUCAUUGAUGGAGGUAGCUGCAACAACUUGGCAAGCAGCGAUAUGGUGCAGAAGCUUGCCCUCAACACCAAACCACACCCGCAUCCCUACUACAUCCAAUGGCUGAACAACAGUGGUAAGGCAAAGGUAACUAGACUUGUGAGAAUUAAUUUUUCCAUCGGAUCCUACAAAGAUAUUGUUGAAUGUGAUGUUGUGCCUAUGCAACCUUGUAACAUUCUGCUAGGUAGACCUUGGCAAUUUGAUAGAGAUUCUAUGCAUCAUGGUAGAUCAAAUCAGUAUUUUUUUCUAUACCAUGAUCGCAAAAUUGUGUUGCAUCCUAUGUCCCCUGAAACUAUUAUGCAAACUGAUGUUGCUAGGGCUACUAAAGCAAAGAGCAAGAGCAAUAAAAAUGAUAAAUCUGUAAUUGGUAACAAAGAUGAGAUAAAACUGAAAGGACGUUGUAUGAUAGCUACCAAAUCAGAUAUUAAUGAGUUCAAUGCAUCCACUUCUGUUGCUUAUGCUUUGAUAUGCAAGGAUGCUUUGAUUUCAAUUGAGGAUAUGCAAUGUUCUUUGCCCCCUGCAGUUGCUAACGUUUUGCAGGAGUAUUCUGAUGUGUUUCCAAGUGAGGUACCAGAGCUUGAGUCGAGGACGACUCAAAUGCAAGAAAGGGAGGAUGAUGAGGACAUCAACACCAGCGAUACAUCCUCUCCUACAUCCUCUCCGACACAACCUAUAGCUGGUCCUACAUCUCCGACACAACCUAUAGCUGGUCCUACAUCCUCUCCGACACAACCUAUAGCUGGUCCUCUUACUCGUGCUCGUGCCCGUCAACUCAACCUUCAAGUAAGUUCAGUUUUAAACUCUUGUCAAUCAUAUUUAGAUAAUGGAGACAUGUGCACUUUCGUGUUGCUCAGGAAUAAUGGACAAGAUCAGCAAGGGAAGGUUCAACUGCAUUCAGAAUUUGAGGCAACACCAACUUCAAGGGCUGAUUGCUUAUGGGAAGAGUGAUAACUUAACAAAGGUGAUUGGAGAUCAGGUCCAAGCCUCCACAACAUCCUCUAUCAAGUUACCACGUCGCUUCUAAAGCAAGGAAACAAAGAGUCCAAACCCAACACGUUUUGGGAGUUGGAUUCGGACUGGAAAAUAACUCUAACUUGUAUGGAUCACCACGGCGUCAUAUGGACUCCAACUGGGACGUUCCUAUACUUGUUGGAAAGCUCAUGAAGUCUACUUUCCAAUGGGUCCAACCACAUAUUUAUGCAGCUUAUGAGUCAGGCGCAGUCCUUGUUUUCGUGCCGACACCUUUUUCUGUUUUGGUGCUGCGUCACCCUAUUUUGGACCAAUGGCCCAUGUAUCAAGUUGAGUCCAUUAGGGACGCGUCCUAGGGUUGGAGGACGACUCUAGCACCCCUUUGGUCGUCCUCCCCUCUAUUUAUUUACAUCUAGAGUCGCCAUGAACAACUGGGUUUUGUUUAGAUCAAGUUUAGCCUUCGCUACUUGCUUGUAGGCGCGCGUGCAGGAUCAGCCGCCCGUCUCCUUGUCUUCGGAACCCCAUUGUUGAUUCAGAUUCAGUUUGAAACCUUCAAUUCAUCUUGCAAAUUCAGUGCUUGUUUCCUCGUUCUUGCUAGUUCUUCGAUUGCUUGCAGGACGGGAGCCCUAGGGGCUGGUUGUCGCGCUCCACAAGAUCGUGACGGCUGUUGGACGUGGUGUAUCGGUUGCUAAGGCGCGGUCUUGAGGGCUGUAGUCGGGGCGUGAACGUCAUCUCCAUCCUCUAAUCGAGUUAUCCAGCGCCUCUCAUCGAAAGAUCAGGCUAAAAACCCUAGCGGGUUCGCAUCAGUUGGUAUCAGAGCAAGGUUCUUCGGUGAGGGACUUCUAAUCCUUUGCUGUUUUUAAUUAAUUUCCUAUAGUCCAGAAAAGCCAAAAAAAAUAUAGUAGAUUAGUUUUUCCAUAAUCCUAUUAAACCUUUGUGCCUUGGCUAGUACCGUUUUAGUUAGGGCUUGUUGAAUUUGCGUUGCUUCGAUUUGUGUCGAGUUGCUGGUCUUAGUGUCUAGUCCUUUAGAGUUUCGAGUUCUUGUCACCAUCUAUACACAGCCGAGUAUUACCAUAUCUUCUCUCUGUCGAAUCUGUUGUGAAGUCCGAAUUGAACUGUGAUCCAAAAAGAAAGAUAACUCCAUACUUGUUUGGCCUUACUCUAGAGAGAGAGAGAGAAAAGUGUGUGUAGCGAAUUGCUCUUUUGUAUUCCUUUGUUCAUAUAAUCAGUUUUUGAGGUUGCCCAAAAAAAAGAAAAAAAAAGAAAAAAAAAAGAAAAGAGAAAAGAUUCAAAAAAAAGGGGCUGUUUUUCAUAUUGAUUUUAGGUUUCUUCCACCUUGUUUUCGGGGGUGUGCUGUGGUUUUCCUUUGUGUCCAGGCUCGCGUCUCUAGCACGGUCUAGCCUAGGACCAGCACAGUACCAUCGUCGAACGCUUAUUCAGCUCGCUUUUAUAACUAACGUGGUGCUAGUUCGUUCCUUGAUUCAGCCCACC
rnacentral:lncRNA from 1 species